GAUGAACGCUGGCGGCGUGCCUAAUACAUGCAAGUCGAGCGAACGGACGAGAAGCUUGCUUCUCUGAUGUUAGCGGCGGACGGGUGAGUAACACGUGGAUAACCUACCUAUAAGACUGGGAUAACUUCGGGAAACCGGAGCUAAUACCGGAUAAUAUUUUGAACCGCAUGGUUCAAAAGUGAAAGACGGUCUUGCUGUCACUUAUAGAUGGAUCCGCGCUGCAUUAGCUAGUUGGUAAGGUAACGGCUUACCAAGGCAACGAUGCAGAGCCGACCUGAUAGGGUGAUCGGCCACACUGGAACUGAGACACGGUCCAGACUCCUACGGGAGGCAGCAGUAGGGAAUCUUCUGCAAUGGGCGAAAGCCUGACGGAGCAACGCCGCGUGAGUGAUGAAGGUCUUCGGAUCGUAAAACUCUGUUAUUAGGGAAGAACAUAUGUGUAAGUAACUGUGCACAGCUUGACGGUACCUAAUCAGAAAGCCACGGCUAACUACGUG
rnacentral:rRNA from 1 species